rnacentral:snoRNA from 14 species
AGCUUCUCGUGAGCGCCACUCUGUACACGAGUCACGGGGAAUGGAUUCGCGUGAGAAGUAGAGCCAACUCGCAGCUAAAACAGGCAGCUACCCAAGUGGAAGUUGUCCAUGUCUGAUGUAGAUAGUA